UGAGGAAUAUUGGACAAUGGGCGCAAGCCUGAUCCAGCCAUGCCGCGUGCAGGAAGAAGCAUCUAUGGUGUGUAAACUGCUUUUGUACGGGAAGAAACACUCCUUCGUGAAGGAGCUUGACGGUACCGUAAGAAUAAGGAUCGGCUAACCCCGUGCCAGCAGCCGCGGUAAUACGGAGGAUCCAAGCGUUAUCCGGAAUCAUUGGGUUUAAAGGGUCCGUAGGCGGUUUAGUAAGUCAGUGGUGAAAGCCCAUCGCUCAACGAUGGAACGGCCAUUGAUGCUGCUAGACUUGAGUUAUUGGGAAGUGACUAGAAUAUGUAGUGUAGCGGUGAAAUGCUUAGGUAUUACAUGGAAUACCACUUGCGAAGGCAGGUUACUACUGAUGGAUUGACGCUGAUGGACGAAAGCGUGGGGGGCGAACA
rnacentral:rRNA from 1 species